AGCGAACGCUGGCGGCAGGCCUAACACAUGCAAGUCGAACGAACUCUUCGGAGUUAGUGGCGGACGGGUGAGUAACACGUGGGAACGUGCCUUUAGGUUCGGAAUAACUCAGGGAAACUUGAGCUAAUACCGAAUGUGCCCUUCGGGGGAAAGAUUUAUCACCUUUAGAGCGGCCCGCGUCUGAUUAGCUUGUUGGUGAGGUAAUGGCUCACCAAGGCGACGAUCAGUAGCUGGUCUGAGAGGAUGACCAGCCACAUUGGGACUGAGACACGGCCCAAACUCCUACGGGAGGCAGCAGUGGGGAAUCUUGCGCAAUGGGCGAAAGCCUGACGCAGCCAUGCCGCGUGGAUGAUGAAGGACUUAGGAUUGUAAAAUCCUUUCACCGGUGAAGAUAAUGACUGUAGCCGGAGAAGAAGCCCCGGCUAACUUCGUGCCAGCCGCCGCAGUAAAAC
rnacentral:rRNA from 1 species